GUUCUUUAAAGAUUAUGAUUUAUUUGCGAUUUAAGCAAGUCAAGUGGGUUUAUUGUGGGCAAUAGUGAGGCACAAAUUUGGAAAAUUAUAAAGUGUCAAGGUAAAAAGCCAAUAGUGGAUUAAAGAGUUCAAAGUGAC